AGAGUUUGAUCAUGGCUCAGAUUGAACGCUGGCGGCAGGCCUAACACAUGCAAGUCGAACGGUAACAGGAAACAGCUUGCUGUUUCGCUGACGAGUGGCGGACGGGUGAGUAAUGUCUGGGAAACUGCCUGAUGGAGGAGGAUAACUACUGGAAACGGUAGCUAAUACCGCAUAACGUCGCAAGACCAAAGAGGGGGACCCUCGGGCCUCUUGCCAUCGGAUGUGCCCAGAUGGGAUUAGCUUGUUGGUGGGGUAACGGCUCACCAAGGCGACGAUCCCUAGCUGGUCUGAGAGGAUGACCAGCCACACUGGAACUGAGACACGGUCCAGACUCCUACGGGAGGCAGCAGUGGGGAAUAUUGCACAAUGGGCGCAAGCCUGAUGCAGCCAUGCCGCGUGUAUGAAGAAGGCCUUCGGGUUGUAAGUACUUUCAGCGGGGAGGAAGGGAGUAAAGUUAAUACCUUUGCUCAUUGACGUUACCCGCAGAAGAAGCACCGGCUAACUCCGUGCCAGCAGCCGCGGUAAUACGGAGGGUGCAAGCGUUAAUCGGAAUUACUGGGCGUAAAGCGCACGCAGGCGGUUUGUUAAGUCAGAUGUGAAAUCCCCGGGCUCAACCUGGGAACUGCAUCUGAUACUGGCAAGCUUGAGUCUCGUAGAGGGGGGUAGAAUUCCAGGUGUAGCGGUGAAAUGCGUAGAGAUCUGGAGGAAUACCGGUGGCGAAGGCGGCCCCCUGGACGAAGACUGACGCUCAGGUGCGAAAGCGUGGGGAGCAAACAGGAUUAGAUACCCUGGUAGUCCACGCCGUAAACGAUGUCGACUUGGAGGUUGUGCCCUUGAGGCGUGGCUUCCGGAGCUAACGCGUUAAGUCGACCGCCUGGGGAGUACGGCCGCAAGGUUAAAACUCAAAUGAAUUGACGGGGGCCCGCACAAGCGGUGGAGCAUGUGGUUUAAUUCGAUGCAACGCGAAGAACCUUACCUGGUCUUGACAUCCACGGAAGUUUUCAGAGAUGAGAAUGUGCCUUCGGGAACCGUGAGACAGGUGCUGCAUGGCUGUCGUCAGCUCGUGUUGUGAAAUGUUGGGUUAAGUCCCGCAACGAGCGCAACCCUUAUCCUUUGUUGCCAGCGGUCCGGCCGGGAACUUAAAGGAGACUGCCAGUGAUAAACUGGAGGAAGGUGGGGAUGACGUCAAGUCAUCAUGGCCCUUACGACCAGGGCUACACACGUGCUACAAUGGCGCAUACAAAGAGAAGCGACCUCGCGAGAGCAAGCGGACCUCAUAAAGUGCGUCGUAGUCCGGAUUGGAGUCUGCAACUCGACUCCAUGAAGACGGAAUCGCUAGUAAUCGUGGAUCAGAAUGCCACGGUGAAUACGUUCCCGGGCCUUGUACACACCGCCCGUCACACCAUGGGAGUGGGUUGCAAAAGAAGUAGGUAGCUUAACCUUCGGGAGGGCGCUUACCACUUUGUGAUUCAUGACUGGGGUGAAGUCGUAACAAGGUAACCGUAGGGGAACCUGCGGUUG
rnacentral:rRNA from 1 species